AUUGAACGCUGGCGGCAGGCUUAACACAUGCAAGUCGAGCGGGGUGAUGGUGCUUGCACUAUCACUUAGCGGCGGACGGGUGAGUAAUGCUUAGGAAUCUGCCUAUUAGUGGGGGACAACAUUUCGAAAGGGAUGCUAAUACCGCAUACGUCCUACGGGAGAAAGCAGGGGAUCACUUGUGACCUUGCGCUAAUAGAUGAGCCUAAGUCGGAUUAGCUAGUUGGUGGGGUAAAGGCCUACCAAGACGACGAUCUGUAGCGGGUCUGAGAGGAUUAUCCGCCACACUGGGACUGAGACACGGCCCAGACUCCUACGGGAGGCAGCAGUGGGGAAUAUUGGACAAUGGGGGGAACCCUGAUCCAGCCAUGCCGCGUGUGUGAAGAAGGCCUUACGGUUGUAAAGCACUUUAAGCGAGGAGGAGGCUCUUUUGGUUAAUACCCAAGAUGAGUGGACGUUACUCGCAGAAUAAGCACCGGCUAACUCUGUGCCAGCCGCCGCCGUAA
rnacentral:rRNA from 1 species